GAUGAACGCUAGCUACAGGCUUAACACAUGCAAGUCGAGGGGUAACAAGAGAAAAGCUUGCUUUUCUUGUUGACGACCGGCGCACGGGUGAGUAACGCGUAUCCAACCUGCCUAUAACUAGGGAAUAACCUUGCGAAAGUAAGACUAAUACCCUAUGAUUACCUUUGAUGGCAUCAGAUUAGGAAUAAAGAUUUAUCGGUUAUAGAUGGGGAUGCGUCUGAUUAGCUUGUUGGCGGGGUAACGGCCCACCAAGGCAACGAUCAGUAGGGGUUCUGAGAGGAAGGUCCCCCACAUUGGAACUGAGACACGGUCCAAACUCCUACGGGAGGCAGCAGUGAGGAAUAUUGGUCAAUGGGCGGAAGCCUGAACCAGCCAAGUAGCGUGCAGGAUGACGGCCCUAUGGGUUGUAAACUGCCUUUAUACAGGAAUAAAGUUAGCCACGUGUGGUUAUUUGUAGGUACUGUAUGAAUAAGGACCGGCUAAUUCCGUGCCAGCCGCCGCAGUAA
rnacentral:rRNA from 1 species